CUGCCGUAAGACCGGCGCACGGGUGCGUAACGCGUACUGUAACCUGCCCGCAACAGAGGGUACAUGCUCCCCGAAAGGGGAAUUAAUACCGCAUAACACUUUUAUAUCGCAUGGUAUAAAAGUCAAACAUUUAUGGGUUGCGGAUGGACAUGCGUAACAUUAGCCAGAUGGCGGGGUAAUAGCCCACCAUAGCUACGAUGUUUAGGGGUUCUGAGAGGAAGGUCCCACCACACCGGUACUGAGACACGGACCGGACAUCCUACGGGAGGCAGCACGUGAGGAAUAUUGGUCAAUGGUCGAGAGACUGAACCAGCCAUGUCGCAGUGCGGGAAGAAGGCCCUACGGGUCUUAACACCGCAUUUUCAUAAAGCAG
rnacentral:rRNA from 1 species